UCCCAGCUUCACUUAAGUAUCAUUUUUUUUUUUUUGACCAAUAAAGCCUAGGAGAACAAUUCAAAUACCCUCUCUAUCCCUCAAAACCCUCACCUCUCUGCUAUUUAUACAUGCGCGUAGAACCAUGGCCGCCACAAAAACCCUCGUCUCUCCCAAGUCUCAACCACACAUGUCCUCACCUGUCACAUAGGAUGAAUACCGCAGAUAACCGGCCUGGACAACAUCACACCAUCCUCAAAAAAUCUAAAAUGCAAGAAGAGGAAGUAAUGACAUCCUAACCAUUGCACUGGCAGUCUGAAAAUAUUGGUCCAAGCACUUUCAAAGUGAUAAUUUAGGUAGUCUAUAGUUGAUACUUCUACAAUGGUAAUUUGGGUGAGAACCAAGGAUGUCAAAAAGUGCAAUUUUUUAUUUUCACAAUUUAUUUAUUUUUUACAUUGUCCAUGUGUUCGAAGUUAUGGUAAAUGUCUAAUAUCUUUGUUUCUUGCUGUAGAGCAAGCAAUUAAAAGGGCAUAGGGUUAAUUAAUAACGUCAUUGCUUAUUGCACGAUGUAUUAGAAUAAUGGUCCUAAUUAACUAUUUCAUACGGCACCAUUAGGAGAGGCCAAUAUGUUUGUGUCAAUUGAUAUUGUGAAAGUAAUAGAUGCCCUUUUUCUUGUACCUAUCCAUAGAGAGAUGACUAUUCUAGAAGAGGCAACUGGGUGUCACAUGGCAUGACCCAGAUAUCUCAGGAGAGGCAAACUGGGUGAUACUAAGAUUUUUGGGCUAUCAUGCUACAUGACACCCAACCGUCUCUUGAACAAUAGAGUUCUCUCCAAGAUAGGUGCAGGAAAAGACCUCAAUUACCUUAACAACAUCAAUUGACACACGCAUAUUGCCCUCCCCUAGUGGUGCCAUAUGACGUGGUUCCUUAGGUCCAUUUUCUCAUGCAUUGUGCCAUGAGCAACAAUGAUAUUACUAUAUACCAUAAAUCCACAACGCAUGAACAAUGUAAAUAAUAAACUUUGUGGUAAUAAAAUAUUGCUCCUUUUGGCGUUACAUGUCAUCCUUGGUUCUCCUCCUAUUUUCCAUUACAGAAGUAUCAAUUUGUAGAAUGCCUAGAUUAUCACUUCUAAAAGUGUUUGAGCCAAUACUUUUAAGUUGAGCUUGCCCUCACUGCCCAAAUAUUAAGCUGAGCUUGCCCUUACUACCUAUGCCUUUGUUGGAUUGUGGGGAGCUUGUUGGAGGCACUUGGAUUAAAGUUUGGGGGUUUUCUAUGCUUUGGGGUUGUUUUCUCAAUACCAUUGCUUGAUUUUUUUAACUCCUUUUUUCCAUUGCCGAUUUCGAUGUUUUUGGUCCAUAGAUGUCAUAGCCAUUGUUUUUGUUUUUAUGAUACAGAUUUACACAUCGGAUCUUCUUGAUGUCCGUUGAUACUAUCAGCACCAUGUAACAGUUUGAAAUUUUAAUGAAAACAAUAUAAUUUUAAUUUAAU